GUAGGUGGCAAGCGUUGUCCGGAAUUAUUGGGCGUAAAGCGCGCGCAGGCGGUUCUUUAAGUCCGAUGUGAAAGCCCACGGCUCAACCGUGGAGGGUCAUUGGAAACUGGAGAACUUGAGUACAGAAGAGGAAAGCGGAAUUCCACGUGUAGCGGUGAAAUGCGUAGAGAUGUGGAGGAACACCAGUGGCGAAGGCGGCUUUUCUGGUCUGUAACUGACGCUGAGGCGCGAAAGCGUGGGGAGCAAACAGGGAUUAGAUACCCUGGUAGUCCACGCCGUAAACGAUGAGUGCUAAGUGUUAGGGGGGUUUCCGCCCCCUUAGUGCUGCAGCUAACGCAUUAAGCACUCCGCCUGGGGAGUACGGCCGCAAGGCUG
rnacentral:rRNA from 1 species